rnacentral:rRNA from 1 species
UACAGAGGGGGGCAAGCGUUGUUCGGAAUUACUGGGCGUAAAGGGCGCGCAGGCGGCUGCUCAAGUCAGGCGUGAAAGGCCUGGGCUCAACCCGGGAAUUGCGCUUGAGACUGGGCUGGCUUGAGUGCGGGAGAGGAUGGUGGAAUUCCCAGUGUAGAGGUGAAAUUCGUAGAUAUUGGGAAGAACACCGGUGGCGAAGGCGGCCAUCUGGACCGCAACUGACGCUGAGGCGCGGAAAGCGUGGG